UGCCUUCGGGAACUGUGAGACAGGUGCUGCAUGGCUGUCGUCAGCUCGUGUUGUGAAAUGUUGGGUUAAGUCCCGCAACGAGCGCAACCCUUAUCCUUUGUUGCCAGCGGUCCGGCCGGGAACUCAAAGGAGACUGCCAGUGAUAAACUGGAGGAAGGUGGGGAUGACGUCAAGUCAUCAUGGCCCUUACGACCAGGGCUACACACGUGCUACAAUGGCGCAUACAAAGAGAAGCGACCUCGCGAGAGCAAGCGGAUCUCAUAAAGUGCGUCGUAGUCCGGAUUGGAGUCUGCAACUCGACUCCAUGAAGUCGGAAUCGCUAGUAAUCGUGGAUCAGAAUGCCACGGUGAAUACGUUCCCGGGCCUUGUACACACCGCCCGUCACACCAUGGGAGUGGGUUGCAAAAGAAGUAGGUAGCUUAACCUUCGGGAGGGCGCUUACCACUUUGUGAUUCAUGACUGGGGUGAAGUCGUAACAAGGUAACCGUAGGGGAACCUGCGGUUGGAUCACCUCCUUACCUUAAAGAAGC
rnacentral:rRNA from 1 species